rnacentral:rRNA from 1 species
AUUGAACGCUGGCGGCAUGCCUUACACAUGCAAGUCGAACGGUAACAGUUCUUCGGAUGCUGACGAGUGGCGAACGGGUGAGUAAUACAUCGGAACGUUCUUAGUAAUGGGGGAUAACUACGCGAAAAAGUGGCUAACACCACAUGAGAUACACGGAUGAAAGCAGGGGAUAGAAAGACAUCGUGCUACUAUAGCGGCAGAUGGCAGAUUAGGUGGGUGGUGGGAUAAAACCUUAACAAGCCGACGAUCGGUAGCUGGUCUGAGAGGACGAUCAGCAACACUGGGACUGAGACACAGGCCAGACUCCUACGGGAGGCAGCAGUGGGGAAUUUUGGACAAUUGGCGAAAGCCUGAUCCAGCAAUUCCGCGUGCAGGAUGAAGGCCUUCGGGUUGUAAACUGCUUUUGUACGGAACGAAAAGCCCUGGGUUAAUACCCUGGGGUCAUGACGGUACCGUAAGAAUAAGCACCGGCUAACUACGUGCCAGCCGCCGCGGUAA